AUUCCCCUUCAUUUUCCGCCACGCGUUGUUGUCCAAAAUAAUAUGACAAAUCAUACGUGCCCAUGUUCAAGGGGAACAUUAAACAAAAUUCUCUGAUAAAUAGGAAACUGAUAAAAGUCGAUUGAAUUAAUUCUAGACAUCAGUGCCAAGGACGAGAAACAAUU
ensembl:snoRNA snoRNA:Psi28S-3342 snoRNA:Psi28S-3342